GACGAACGCUGGCGGCGUGCUUAACACAUGCAAGUCGAACGGAAAGGCCCUGCUUUUGUGGGGUGCUCGAGUGGCGAACGGGUGAGUAACAAGUGAGUAACCUGCCCUUGACUUUGGGAUAACUUCAGGAAACUGGGGCUAAUACCGGAUAGGAGCUCCUGCUGCAUGGUGGGGGUUGGAAAGUUUCGGCGGUUGGGGGUGGACUCGCGGCUUAUCAGCUUGUUGGUGGGGUAGUGGCUUACCAAGGCUUUGACGGGUAGCCGGCCUGAGAGGGUGACCGGCCACAUUGGGACUGAGAUACGGCCCAGACUCCUACGGGAGGCAGCAGUGGGGAAUAUUGCACAAUGGGCGGAAGCCUGAUGCAGCAACGCCGCGUGCGGGAUGACGGCCUUCGGGUUGUAAACCGCUUUCGCCUGUGACGAAGCGUGAGUGGCGGUAAUGGGUAAAGAAGCACCGGCUAACUACGUG
rnacentral:rRNA from 1 species